UUGUCACAGAAUUAAAAAGUGAAGUGAGCAGUAUCAAAAUCUCCAAAUUUUCGAGUUGAAUUUUUAAAAUAACAAAUAUUUUGUGCAUUGCUCGCGUUAUUUAUGUGUGGUAGGCAUCCAGCCAGCUUUCAUUGAUGUGGUUCUUAUAUAAAAAAAUUGAAGUUUUAUAGACAUAGAAGUGAUAUAAAAUAAUAUACAAACAUGCAGCAACAAGGAUAUUACCACCCGCAGCCAGGUUACUAUCCUCCCCACCCCCAGCAAGGCUACUACCCCCACCCAGGCUACGGCCCCCCGCACCAAGGCUAUGGCCCCCCGCAGCCGUACUACCAGCAACAGCAGCAGCGUACGUGACUUUUUAACCCCCGACGAAAAAGAGGGCGUUUUAAGUUUAACAUAGGAAGGAUUCCUGUCAAGCUGUUGCAAGGGAGCCGGUUGCAUGGCGUGUCUAGCCUGUGUUUUCUGUUCUUGCUGUAACGCCAUCUCGUCGAUGUUAGGGGAGGGUAUGGAUGAAUAGACAAUGUGUAAAAUUCAUGUUAAAAGAAUAAAAAAUGUGUUAUAAUAAAGUUUAUGUAAUAACUUUAAUGUGGCAUUUAAAUAAAUACAGUUUCCGCAACUUUUUUUUUUGACACCGUAAAUCUACACUACCUAUAUAAGUACUUAAAGAUGUAGUUUCUUUUAAUAGCUGGUAGUUUUCAAGUUAGAUUGGUGACGUGACUCGAAAACUAUUGAUCGAUAGGUGGCACGAUGAAAAGGAAAUACAAAAAGACGAUAAGGCGAUUACUCCCUCAAAUUUUUAUUAAUUUAUUUUAUAUCUUAGCGAAAAUUUAAAAUAUCUAUUAUAUUUUAACAGUUUAUGACAUGUCACACUACAUCUUCAUGUAGUGUUAGAAUUUUAGUAGAAAGUUUUAUAGUUUUCCAUAAAUAGAAUUUAAUGGCCACCAUUUUCGAUGUCAUAGUAAAUUGUGUGUAUGUGACUACGUUAUGU